rnacentral:tRNA from 1 species
UCCCUGGUAGUCCAAUGGUUAGGACCCAACACUCCCAAUGUAGGGGGCAUGGGUCUGACCCCUACUCGGGGAA